rnacentral:rRNA from 1 species
UGAGUAACGCGUGGGUAACCUGCCCUGUACAGGGGGAUAACAGCUGGAAACGGCUGCUAAUACCGCAUAAGCGCACGAGGAGACAUCUCCUUGUGUGAAAAACUCCGGUGGUACAGGAUGGGCCCGCGUCUGAUUAGCUGGUUGGCAGGGUAACGGCCUACCAAGGCAACGAUCAGUAGCCGGUCUGAGAGGAUGAACGGGCACAUUGGAACUGAGACACGGUCCAAACUCCUACGGGAGGCAGCAUG